AUUGAACGCUGGCGGCAGGCCUAACACAUGAAAGUCGAGCGGAUGAAGGGAGCUUGCUCCUGGAUUCAGCGGCGGACGGGUGAGUAAUGCCUAGUAAUCUGCCUGGUAGUGGGGGAUAACGUCCGGAAACGGGCGCUAAUACCGCAUACGUCCUGAGGGAGAAAGUGGGGGUUCUUCGGACCUCACGCUAUCAGAUGAGCCUAGGUCGGAUUAGCUAGUUGGUGGGGUAAAGGCCUACCAAGGCGACGAUCCGUAACUGGUCUGAGAGGAUGAUCAGUCACACUGGAACUGAGACACGGUCCAGACUCCUACGGGAGGCAGCAGUGGGGAAUAUUGGACAAUGGGCGAAAGCCUGAUCCAGCCAUGCCGCGUGUGUGAAGAAGGUCUUCGGAUUGUAAAGCACUUUAAGUUGGGAGGAAGGGCAGUAAGUUAAUACCUUGCUGUUUUGACGUUACCAACAGAAUAAGCACCGGCUAACUUCGUG
rnacentral:rRNA from 1 species